GGCCGCGUGGCCUAAUGGCAAGGCGUUGGUUUCCGGUUUCUUCAAUCCACCGAGCCAGAAAUUGUGGGUUCGAUCCCCACCGUGGUCG